rnacentral:lncRNA from 1 species
CUACACAAUCGCAAAGCACGUGAAAUAUAUUCACAUGCGCGCCGCGCACAAAGCCCAGUUUCAGCGGAAUAUCAUUUGCAUGCAGCCAGAGUGUAAAACUCUCAAGUGGUUUUGUCAUGGAGCAGCUCACAGAAGAAUGGUAGCCUGCAGGGUAGGAAUAUCAGGGGAGAGUUUCCACAGUCCUGCUCGUUUUCACUCCCGCCUUUGGAACAGUGACUGGUGUAGACCUGGAAACCAGGGAAACCAGCACAGCAGACCUCCUGGACUGGAGUUGGCCACUUCCAGGUUAUCAGAAUGGUUAUGCAGAAGUGAAUGAUUCGUCAGAUUGUCAAAGGAGGAAAUGGAUACAAACCCCAACCGACAAGCCGGAAUACAAACAAGAGAUCAAAUGGAUAAGAAGCUCAUUUAAAAAAAGAGCAAACAUAUACAGAGUUACAC